rnacentral:rRNA from 1 species
UACGAAGGGGGCUAGCGUUGUUCGGAAUUACUGGGCGUAAAGCGCGCGUAGGCGGUCAUCUUUGUCAGAUGUGAAAGCCCGGGGCUCAACUCCGGAAUUGCCUUUGAAACGGGAUCGCUUGAGUCCGAGAGAGGAUGGCGGAAUUCCUAGUGUAGAGGUGAAAUUCGUAGAUAUUAGGAAGAACACCGGUGGCGAAGGCGGCCAUCUGGCUCGGUACUGACGCUCAGGCGCGAAAGCGUGGGGAGCAAACAGG